rnacentral:rRNA from 1 species
CGGCGAGUGAAGCGGCAACAGCUCAAAUUUGAAAUCUGGCCCUCGGGUCCGAGUUGUACUUUGUAGAGGAUGCUUUUGGCGCGGUGCCUUCCGAGUUCCCUGGAACGGGACGCCUUAGAGGGUGAGAGCCCCGUACGGUUGGACACCAAGCCUCUGUAAAGCUCCUUCGACGAGUCGAGUAGUUUGGGAAUGCUGCUCUAAAUGGGAGGUAAAUUUCUUCUAAAGCUAAAUAUUGGCCAGAGACCGAUAGCGCACAAGUAGAGUGAUCGAAAGAUGAAAAGCACUUUGAAAAGAGGGUUAAAUAGCACGUGAAAUUGUUGAAAGGGAAGCGUUUGCGACCAGACCUCUCCCUGGCGGAUCAUCCGGCGUUCUCGCCGGUGCACUCCGCCAGGCUGAGGCCAGCAUCGGUUUCCGCGGGGGGACAAAAGCGGGGGGAACGUAGCUCCCUCGGGAGUGUUAUAGCCCUCCGCAUAAUACCCUCGCGGGGACCGAGGACCGCGCAAGGAUGCUGGCGUAAUGGUCGUCAACGACCCGUCUUGAAACACGGACCAAGGAGUCGAACAUUUGUGCGAGUGUUUGGGUGUCAAACCCUCACGCGUAAUGAAGGUGAACGUAGGUGAGAGCCCUCGCGGGCGCAUCAUCGACCGAUCCUGAUGUCUUCGGAUGGAUUUGAGUAAGAGCAUAACUGUUCGGACCCGAAAGAUGGUGAACUAUGCGUGGAUAGGGUGAAGCCAGAGGAAACUCUGGUGGAGGCUCGCAGCGGUUCUGACGUGCAAAUCGAUCGUCAAAUCUGCGCAUGGGGGCGAAAG